GAGUGAUGGAUGCAGAGCAGAAUUUAUAGGCUUGACCUCAUGGCCUAAUAUUAACAACAUUUCCCUUUCUGAUAUUCAUCAAGCAAUUCUCUAUGGAUUUGAGUUGUAUUAUUCUUCGUGGGGUUUAUUGGAAUUGAUUUCCGGUGAGGACUCAAGCCUUUUAUCUACAUAUACUUUUAAUUCUC